CGGACGGUGGAACGGAACCUCGUCCUUUCAGGAGGGGGAACGAACAGCGUAGGAAACGGCUGCUAAUACCGCAUAACACAUAGGUGUCGCAUGGCAUUUAUGUCAAAGAUUUAUCGCUGAGAGAUGGCCUCGCGUCUGAUUAGCUAGUUGGUAGGGUAACGGCCUACCAAGGCGACGAUCAGUAGCCGGACUGAGAGGUUGGCCGGCCACAUUGGGACUGAGAUACGGCCCAGACUCCUACGGAAGGCAGCAG
rnacentral:rRNA from 1 species